rnacentral:other from 1 species
UACUCCCUGCGGGGCUCGUGGUUCCGGGAUAUUUCCUGAACCAACAUUGUCUAUCCAGGGGGCCUUGGUCCAUAUCGUUGGUGUGCCGCUCCGCUGCGGAGUAGCCUGAUACGAUUCCCGGGCUCCCGACCUGGUCAUCAGGUUCGUGGGAUAGCGGGCGCCACGACCCAAGCGGGGAGUUU